AUUGAACGCUGGCGGCAGGCCUAACACAUGCAAGUCGAGCGGAGCGGCGGACGGGUGAGUGAUGCCUAGGAAUCUGCCUGGUAGUGGGGGAUAACGUCCGGCAACGGGCGCUAAUACCGCAUACUAUCAGAUGAGCCUAGGUCGGAUUAGCUCGUUGGUGGGGUAAAGGCCUACCAAGACGACGAUCCGUAACUGGUCCGAGAGGAUGAUCAGUCACACUGGAACUGAGACACGGCCCAUACUCCUACGGGAGGCAGCAGUGGGGAAUAUUGGGCAAUGGACGAAAGCCUGAUCCAGCCACGCCGCGUGUGUGAAGAAGGGCUUCGGAUUGUAAAACACUUUUAUUUGGGAAGCGUUACCAACAGAAUAAGCACCGGCUAACUUCGUGCCAGCAGCCGCGGUAAUUC
rnacentral:rRNA from 1 species